ensembl:lncRNA
CCAUAAUUCAAGUUUUAUUAAUGCACAUGACUAAUUCAGCUUCUUUCCGGGAGUUUUUUUUGUGCUUUCGCCCCUAUCAGGUCUCCAUAGAUCGUGGUUCCUUCGGGACCCUGGUCCUGACACCUACCGUGGCCAUGCUGACGCCUGCUGCUGCCAUCAUCAUCAUCAUCAUCAUCAUUAUUUUAGAUAUUAAUCAUAUUACUUUACUCAUAAACCGACAUUACCCUCUCCUAAAGUCUCUGUGCUCUCCCUCCCCACAGGAUUCUGUGGAUGGUGGUUCUAUCUGAUGGUGGUUGCCCCUGCAGUGGUCCUGCUUCUGUCCAUCCCGGGAGUGGGAUCCCUCCUCUGACGUUCUCCCUAAGGUUUC